UACGAAGGGGGCUAGCGUUGCUCGGAAUCACUGGGCGUAAAGCGCACGUAGGCGGACUCUUAAGUCGGGGGUGAAAGCCCAGGGCUCAACCCUGGAACUGCCUUCGAUACUGGGAGUCUUGAGUAUGGUAGAGGUUGGUGGAACUGCGAGUGUAGAGGUGAAAUUCGUAGAUAUUCGCAAGAACACCAGUGGCGAAGGCGGCCAACUGGACCAUUACUGACGCUGAGGUGCGAAAGCGUGGGGAGCGAACGAGG
rnacentral:rRNA from 1 species